rnacentral:rRNA from 1 species
UGGGGAAUAUUGGACAAUGGGCGCAAGCCUGAUCCAGCCAUGCCGCGUGAGUGACGAAGGCCUUAGGGUUGUAAAGCUCUUUUGGCGGGGAAGAUAAUGACGGUACCCGCAGAAUAAGCUCCGGCUAACUUCGUGCCAGCAGCCGCGGUAAUACGAAGGGAGCUAGCGUUGUUCGGAAUCACUGGGCGUAAAGCGCACGUAGGCGGAUGUGUCAGUCAGGGGUGAAAUCCCGGAGCUCAACUUCGGAACU